rnacentral:lncRNA from 1 species
AUCUUUAUGCACAGUUCUAAGAAUUUACAAUAUUUUGUUUAUGUUAUUCCAAAUUUAGAAGUUGAGCACGUCACCAAAUAUUAUUAUUUAGAAAAAAAACGAGAAGUUUAAUAGAUGGAUAUGCAUGGUAUGAUAAUUAUAUCUGAUUUAAUUCCAUUGUUUCCGAUUUAUUCAAUUGUCUGUUUAACUACAAGGAACUUUUUGAAUUUUGCUACAUGUAUGUGAGUCAUGUCAUAAAACCAGUGUUUUGAAUGACCGUUCUAGAGUUUUGAGCAUUACUAUCGAAUUAUGAAAAAUGGCAUUAACAGUUUAAUAAAGGAGUAGGUCCGGUAAGGGCCGAUUUUGGCCUCAAAUUUCACGUUCAUCGAACGAAAGAUUUUGGAUACUUUUUAAACACUUUAGUGUCUAUUUAAAUUAAUUCAAUUAGUUUCUGUAAAGAAUUUUAACUGAUUUUGUAAUUAAAAACGCUCCAAUUCAAGCUUAAUUAUGAAAAAUCUAUCAAAUAUGCCAAAAAACGUCACUUUUCAGAUGGUUUUUGUCAAAAAUGGAAGUGGCCGCAUCCGUGUUCAUCCUCAACCUUUAUAUAUGUCAUGUAUUAUCAUCAAAUACAACUUACAUUUCAAUAUUAUGAAUGAACACGAAUGCGGCCACUUUCAUUUUAGAUGGAAACCGUUUAAAACUUAACUAAAAUGCUCAAAUUGUGUGAAGAUUUCAGUAAUUUAGCAUGGCUUAAUGAUGCUAGUACCCGAUAUAUGUGCAUUUCUUUGUCAAAAACAGCCCAUAUUUAUGUAGCAGAAGCAUUCUACUUUCCAGUAAAUAGCUAAAAGAUUACAUUUUCAUACUUUUGUAAAACUGCUAUAUUUUGGGGCCAAAAAGGGGUCUUACUGAACCUACUCCUUUCGAAAUGGACGUCCGAGAUAAAAACCUAAGUGCUUCUGUUAAUUUGUCCUUCCUGAUACAUUCAAUUUGAAUAGUAUAAUCACAGGGUUCUACAGUGCGUUUUGGCAAAUUAGAAAACAGCAAAAUUUGGUCAAUUUGAAAACUGUAACAUUUUGAAUAUAAAAGUUCAGACACGAAUUGAAGAAUUGACUUACAGAUAUACGAUCGUUAUAUUAUGAGAUGUUACGGAUAUAAGAUCGUUAUAUUAUGAGAUGUUACAGAUAUAAGAUCGUUAUAUUAUGAGAUGUUAUAGAUGUACGAUCGUUAUAUUAUGAGAUGUCACAGAUGUAAGAUCGUUAUAUUAUGAGAUGUUACAGAUGUAAGAUCGUUAUAUUAUGAGAUGUCACAGAUGUAAGAUCGUUAUAUUAUGAGAUGUCACAGAUGUAAGAUCGUUAUAUUUUGAGAUGUUACAGUAGUUUUUUCUUAUUGAUGCUCUAUAUGUAAUUUGUUUUGUGUGCAUGUAGUUUUUGGUUAUUUUUAAAACCGUUGUAAGCAAUCUUUAAAAGAAGAGUGAAAUUUUGUACAACAUUUAAUUUACAUUGCAAAUGAAAUUCAUUUGUCAAAUUGCACUAUUUAUU